rnacentral:rRNA from 1 species
GCGAAAAGAACCCCGGCGAGGGGAGUGAAAAAGAACCUGAAACCGUGUACGUACAAGCAGUGGGAGCACAGAGCAAUCUGUGUGACUGCGUACCUUUUGUAUAAUGGGUCAGCGACUUAUAUUCUGUAGCAAGGUUAACCGAAUAGGGGAGCCGAAGGGAAACCGAGUCUUAACUGGGCGUUAAGUUGCAGGGUAUAGACCCGAAACCCGGUGAUCUAGCCAUGGGCAGGUUGAAGGUUGGGUAACACUAACUGGAGGACCGAACCGACUAAUGUUGAAAAAUUAGCGGAUGACUUGUGGCUGGGGGUGAAAGGCCAAUCAAACCGGGAGAUAGCUGGUUCUCCCCGAAAGCUAUUUAGGUAGCGCCUCGUGAAUUCAUCUCCGGGGGUAGAGCACUGUUUCGGCAAGGGGGUCAUCCCGACUUACCAACCCGAUGCAAACUGCGAAUACCGGAGAAUGUUAUCACGGGAGACACACGGCGGGUGCUAACGUCCGUCGUGAAGAGGGAAACAACCCAGACCGCCAGCUAAGGUCCCAAAGUCAUGGUUAAGUGGGAAACGAUGUGGGAAGGCCCAGACAGCCAGGAUGUUGGCUUAGAAGCAGCCAUCAUUUAAAGAAAGCGUAAUAGCUCACUGGUCGAGUCGGCCUGCGCGGAAGAUGUAACGGGGCUAAACCAUGCACCGAAGCUGCGGCAGCGACACUGUGUGUUGUUGGGUAGGGGAGCGUUCUGUAAGCCUGUGAAGGUGUGCUGUGAGGCAUGCUGGAGGUAUCAGAAGUGCGAAUGCUGACAUAAGUAACGAUAAAGCGGGUGAAAAGCCCGCUCGCCGGAAGACCAAGGGUUCCUGUCCAACGUUAAUCGGGGCAGGGUGAGUCGACCCCUAAGGCGAGGCCGAAAGGCGUAGUCGAUGGGAAACAGGUUAAUAUUCCUGUACUUGGUGUUACUGCGAAGGGGGGACGGAGAAGGCUAUGUUGGCCGGGCGACGGUUGUCCCGGUUUAAGCGUGUAGGCUGGUUUUCCAGGCAAAUCCGGAAAAUCAAGGCUGAGGCGUGAUGACGAGGCACUACGGUGCUGAAGCAACAAAUGCCCUGCUUCCAGGAAAAGCCUCUAAGCAUCAGGUAACAUCAAAUCGUACCCCAAACCGACACAGGUGGUCAGGUAGAGAAUACCAAGGCGCUUGAGAGAACUCGGGUGAAGGAACUAGGCAAAAUGGUGCCGUAACUUCGGGAGAAGGCACGCUGAUAUGUAGGUGAAGUCCCUCGCGGAUGGAGCUGAAAUCAGUCGAAGAUACCAGCUGGCUGCAACUGUUUAUUAAAAACACAGCACUGUGCAAACACGAAAGUGGACGUAUACGGUGUGACGCCUGCCCGGUGCCGGAAGGUUAAUUGAUGGGGUCAGCGCAAGCGAAGCUCUUGAUCGAAGCCCCGGUAAACGGCGGCCGUAACUAUAACGGUCCUAAGGUAGCGAAAUUCCUUGUCGGGUAAGUUCCGACCUGCACGAAUGGCGUAAUGAUGGCCAGGCUGUCUCCACCCGAGACUCAGUGAAAUUGAACUCGCUGUGAAGAUGCAGUGUACCCGCGGCAAGACGGAAAGACCCCGUGAACCUUUACUAUAGCUUGACACUGAACAUUGAGCCUUGAUGUGUAGGAUAGGUGGGAGGCUUUGAAGUGUGGACGCCAGUCUGCAUGGAGCCGACCUUGAAAUACCACCCUUUAAUGUUUGAUGUUCUAACGUGGACCCGUGAUCCGGGUUGCGGACAGUGUCUGGUGGGUAGUUUGACUGGGGCGGUCUCCUCCUAAAGAGUAACGGAGGAGCACGAAGGUUGGCUAAUCCUGGUCGGACAUCAGGAGGUUAGUGCAAUGGCAUAAGCCAGCUUGACUGCGAGCGUGACGGCGCGAGCAGGUGCGAAAGCAGGUCAUAGUGAUCCGGUGGUUCUGAAUGGAAGGGCCAUCGCUCAACGGAUAAAAGGUACUCCGGGGAUAACAGGCUGAUACCGCCCAAGAGUUCAUAUCGACGGCGGUGUUUGGCACCUCGAUGUCGGCUCAUCACAUCCUGGGGCUGAAGUAGGUCCCAAGGGUAUGGCUGUUCGCCAUUUAAAGUGGUACGCGAGCUGGGUUUAGAACGUCGUGAGACAGUUCGGUCCCUAUCUGCCGUGGGCGCUGGAGAACUGAGGGGGGCUGCUCCUAGUACGAGAGGACCGGAGUGGACGCAUCACUGGUGUUCGGGUUGUCAUGCCAAUGGCACUGCCCGGUAGCUAAAUGCGGAAGAGAUAAGUGCUGAAAGCAUCUAAGCACGAAACUUGCCCCGAGAUGAGUUCUCCCUGACCCUUUAAGGGUCCUGAAGGAACGUUGAAGACGACGACGUUGAUAGGCCGGGUGUGUAAGCGCAGCGAUGCGUUGAGCUAACCGGUACUAAUGAACCGUGAGGCUUAACCUUACAACGCCGAAGGUGUUU